AAGUUUUUUCGUACACAUGUGUUCGGCUAUUUUGAUGCCAUCGAUUCAGUGAGCACAACCGAACAUAGAUUACUAAUGCAUAUGCCAAAUCAGCAGGUUACAGAGACUAGAUUGUUCCAAGUCGAUGUUGCUGGUGCUAAAACAUAUUAGUGCCAAGCUGGAUUUACUAGGAGGUAUUUUCUGAUAGUAGUUCUAUAUUGCGUAAAUGAUUCUUCACCGGAUCAAAUGGAAAGUUUGGAGUAUUAGUAGCAUUACUUGACUACAUUUUAUUAUCUUACACAUGCUUCUCUUUUUUUUCCUACCUAAUUUGUACAAGAGAACACUGCUUCUGUGAGAUAAGACUCAUUUCGGUUAGAUUAGGUUAAACAAUUCAUCAACUACUUUCUGCGUGCCUUACAUUUUCCCACCCCUAUAAAACACUCUGUUUCUGUUAACAGGGUGAAACUUACUAAUGAAACAGGCUGAGUUAGUUUACUGUAAGCUAAAAUGACUAUUGUUAGCUACAAAUAUUAUAUUGGACACAUCCGAAUAACAAUGCUCCUCUUACUUUAAUCCAAAGUAUCAACCCCGAAUAUAAAUCUAAAGUUGAUGUUGUUAAACUUGGUAAUGAAUUCUUGGUAUUGCGCGUUGAUGCUACAUUAGCGAAAUCUUACAAGUUUUCAUAACUACUAAAAAGAGUCAAAAUUAUUAGUCAUGCAGCAAGAUUUAACUAUCACAUUGCCUUCGACCUUUCCAUGUUGCUCCGCCUUUCAAUUUUUUUGCCCUAUUAACCUAUUUCGUUUCUUUGUUGUAGAUUGCUAUAUUCGAUGAUGCAUGGCUCAGAUAUUGGUCAAGAAUAGGAGUGCUAUUAGAUAGUUUCACAAUGUGUCUUAGAAUUCCAUGUCCAGUGCCAGUGUUUCAAUCAUCAUGUUUCAGAUAUUUUCGGUGUCAAUGUUUCAGAAUGGCUGAGACGUUGGUUGCAAGGUCAAAAGUAGGAUUACUACUAGCUUCACAUCUUGUAAUCUUUGUAUCGUGCCCUUUGUAAUGCAACCAAGUUGAUUUAAUAUAUGAGAAAUUUCUA
rnacentral:lncRNA from 1 species